rnacentral:snoRNA from 1 species
UUUUAUGAUGAUUCUUUUUUUGUUGCUCGAAGAUCGAGAUCGAUGUGAGCACAUGAUUUCUCAAUAGACUACAACGGUAUCUGAUA